UCUGGCUAGAUUAUUUUUCACCCUAUUUAAUUUAAAACUCUACUCAGUGUAUUCAUCGUUCUUUCUAUUUUUAACCAAAGCAUUAAUUGUGCAUGUCAACAGGUUUUCGGGAUAGAUUCUUUUAAAGCAUUUCUCCAUUUGUCCAAGGCAAGGCCAGGCAGAGGACUGUAAACACAUGAUUUGGCUGGGAAUCUGGCUUCUUUCUAGUCAGGUAUGUUCUUGUUCACCUCUGGUAAGAGAUCAAACUCUAUUACUCCUUUCAUUUUUAUUCCUGAUUAUUAUUAGUCGAAUGUUCCUUCACUGUCACAAGAGAUGGAUAAGGCUUUGAAUGGUAUCAGACCGAGGCUAAGGUGCUCCUGGCUGCUACCCUACAAUUGAAAAAUGGAGUACGUGAUAAGAUCCCGAGAUUUGCUGCCGUAUAGCUUUUGAUCUAGUAAAAACAAAUGGAUAUUACACGCGAGUUAUGCUUAUCUUACCGAGUAUCUUUACUUAUUUCACUCAUUAUAUUGAUUGCUAGAUUUAUGAGAUUUAAUAAUAAAACACUAAUGAUUGUUAUUCUAUCUAUAAAUAUAAUUAUAUGUACUUCAAUGUUAAUUUGGGUUCAGAUGAAUAUGAAGCUCUACCUGUAGAGCUAAUUAGGUA